AUGCUUGCACUUGCAGUCUUCCUGCUCCUGCUCACAGAAACCACAGCAGGGUGGUCCAAGCCAGAUACAUGGCGGAUGCAUGAUCGAGGAGGAUGCAUCGCAAGGGAAAGGGAAGCCCUGCUGUCCAUCAAGGCCGGCAUCACGGCCGACCCGGAGCACCUCCUCUCGUCGUGGCAGGGGCAGGACUGCUGCCGUUGGGAGGGCGUCAGAUGCAGCAACAUGACCGGCCAUGUCAUCGAGCUCGAGCUCCAUGCACGGGGCGACUUCUCUCUUCUGGAAGGUGAGAUAAGCUCUUCUCUGAAAGACCUGGAGCAUCUGCAGCACCUGGACCUUGGCGGUAACUUUUUUCUCACCGGGCCUCAAGGCCGCCUCCCGGAGUUUGUAGGGUCUCUUCGUGACCUGCGGUACCUCAACCUUUCAAACGUGAAUUUUUCUGGCGUGGUGCCCCGCCAGCUUGGCAACCUCUCGAAAUUGCAAUUCCUUGAUCUGACUUCUCAAGAUUUACACUCAGAUGAUCUCUCAUGGCUGCCACAGCUCUCUUUGCUCAAGUAUCUUGACAUGAGCUAUGUGAACCUCGGUGCCGUGAUAAGCUUGGUUGACACAGUGAACAUGAUGGCCUCUCUUGAGGUCCUCAAGCUACAGUGGUGUUCGCUUAAUACCACAAGCCAGUUUGUGUCCCACUCGAACCUCACCAAGCUCAAGAUCCUCGACAUCUCUAACAAUGCAAUUCCAAUGCAGUUCGACACUAUUAGUUGGGUUUGGGAUGCACCCAACCUCAAAUAUCUGAACCUUAAGAACACCGGUGUAUAUGGCAUGUUUCCUGCACAGUUGGGAAACUUGAGUUCACUUGAAGUCCUUCAGCUGAGUGGCAACCAUCUAAAGGGAAUGAUACCAGAUACACUUUGCAGCCUGAGAAUAUUUGAACUGGCAGAGAAUGGUGUUCAAGGGAACGUGGUGGAGUUCAUCAAGAGGUUACCAACAUGUUCAUGGAGUCAGUUGCAGGUGCUGAAUCUGGAAGGCAAUAACAUAACUGGCUCCUUGCCAGACUGGAUCAGCCACAUGACUAGCUUGACCAUUCUUGAUCUUGGGUUCAACAAACUUACAGGACCUCUACCCGCUGGGAUAGGAGAGGAUGACUGGAAGGAAACUUGGGACAGGAACCAGGCGUAG
rnacentral:rRNA from 1 species